UGCAGUUAAAAAGCUCGUAGUUGAAUUUCUGGUCAAUCGUAGUCUUGGCUUCGGUCGGGCUAUGGUUGGUCAUCCGUUUGCAAGCUGCACUCGGCCUUCACUGGUUCGGUGUAGUGAGCUGACAUUUUACUUUGAAAAAAUUAGAGUGUUUCAGGCAGGCUUUUGCCCGAAUACAUUAGCAUGGAAUAAUGGAAUUGGACUCUGGUCCAUUUGGUUGGUUAUUGGAUCUGAGUAAUGGUUAAUAGGGACAGUUGGGGCAUUAGUAUUUAAUUGUCAGAGGUGAAAUUCUUGGAUUUAUUAAAGACUAACUUAUGCGAAAGCAUUUGCCAAGGAUGUUUUCAUUAAUCAAGAACGAAAGUUAGGGGAUAAAAGAUGAUCAGAUACCAUUGUAUUCUUAACUAUAAACUAUACCGACUCGGUCUUGGUAGGAUAUUUUAGUCCUAUCAGUGCCGUAGGAGAAAUCAAAGUCUUUGGGUUCCUGGGGGGAGUAUA
rnacentral:rRNA from 1 species